rnacentral:lncRNA from 1 species
GGAAAGUCUUCACGGAUGAGGUGACAUCCAAGAUGGACUCUGAAUUGUGGGAGACUUGGCCUCGUGGGUGGUCACUCCUAGUAGAGAGCACAGUGUGAGCCAAGGAACAAGGAUAAAUUCCCAAAGAAGAGGAGCGAGGUAGGAAGAGAUGACUGGGGGCCAGGGAACUGGAGAACAUUCCAGAUCAUCCCCUCCUCAGGCUUGAGGCACUGGUGACCCACUGAGGCAAAACAUACCUGAAUUUCAACCUAGAAGUUCAAGGUGAUCAUUGUAUGUAAACAACAGGCUCAAACAUCCUCCAAGGUGAUUGUGUCUAUUUGG